GCCACGCGUGCCAUCGGCGCCGAAUAUUCAACAUGUUGAAUAUUCGGUGCCGAUGGCACGCAUGGC
rnacentral:miRNA from 1 species